rnacentral:rRNA from 1 species
UACAGAGGUGGCAAGCGUUGUUCGGAAUUACUGGGCGUAAAGGGCGCGUAGGCGGUCUUGUAAGUCUUGUGUGAAAUCCCUUGGCUUAACUGAGGAACUGCACGAGAUACUGCAAGACUUGAGAUCGGGAGAGGGAAGCGGAAUUCCGGGUGUAGCGGUGAAAUGCGUAGAUAUCUGGAGGAACACCGGUGGCGAAGGCGGCAUCCUGGACCGGUAUUGACGCUGAGGCGCGAAAGCCAGGGGAGCAAACGGG